rnacentral:rRNA from 1 species
AACGAACGCUGGCGGCAGGCUUAACACAUGCAAGUCGAGCGCCCCGCAAGGGGAGCGGCAGACGGGUGAGUAACGCGUAGGAACGUACCUUUUGGUUCGGAACAACUCCGGGAAACUGGAGCUAAUACCGGAUAAGCCCUAACGGGGAAAGAUUUAUCGCCGAAAGAUCGGCCCGCGUCUGAUUAGCUAGUUGGUGAGGUAACGGCUCACCAAGGCGACGAUCAGUAGCUGGUCUGAGAGGAUGAUCAGCCACACUGGGACUGAGACACGGCCCAGACUCCUACGGGAGGCAGCAGUGGGGAAUAUUGGACAAUGGGCGCAAGCCUGAUCCAGCCAUGCCGCGUGAGUGAUGAAGGCCUUAGGGUUGUAAAGCUCUUUUGUCCGGGAAGAUAAUGACUGUACCGGAAGAAUAAGCCCCGGCUAACUUCGUG